rnacentral:rRNA from 1 species
CAGUAGCCGCGGUAAUACGUAGGUGGCAAGCGUUGUCUGGAAUUAUUGGGCGUAAAGGGCUCGCAGGCGGUUUCUUAAGUCUGAUGUGAAAGCCCCCGGCUCAACCGGGGAGGGUCAUUGGAAACUGGGAAACUUGAGUGCAGAAGAGGAGAGUGGAAUUCCACGUGUAGCGGUGAAAUGCGUAGAGAUGUGGAGGAACACCAGUGGCGGAGGCGACUCUCUGGUCUGUAACUGACGCUGAGGAGCGAAAGCGUGGGGAGCGAACAGGAUUAGAUACCCCCGUAGUCCCUGUCUCUUAUAC